rnacentral:rRNA from 1 species
AAGCGACUAAGCGUACACGGUGGAUGCCCUGGCAGUCAGAGGCGAUGAAGGGCGUGCUAAUCUGCGAUAAGCGCCGGUAAGGUGAUAUGAACCGUUAUAACCGGCGAUACCCGAAUGGGGAAACCCAGUGUGACUCGUCACACUAUCAUUAACUGAAUCCAUAGGUUAAUGAGGCGAACCGGGGGAACUGAAACAUCUAAGUACCCCGAGGAAAAGAAAUCAACCGAGAUUCCCCCAGUAGCGGCGAGCGAACGGGGAGGAGCCCAGAGCCUGAAUCAGCAUGUGUGUUAGUGGAAGCGUCUGGAAAGGCGCGCGAUACAGGGUGACAGCCCCGUACACAAAAGCGCAUAUGCUGUGAGCUCGAUGAGUAGGGCGGGACACGUGGUAUCCUGUCUGAAUAUGGGGGGACCAUCCUCCAAGGCUAAAUACUCCUGACUGACCGAUAGUGAACCAGUACCGUGAGGGAAAGGCGAAAAGAACCCCGGCGAGGGGAGUGAAAAAGAACCUGAAACCGUGUACGUACAAGCAGUGGGAGCCCCACCACUAAGCCAGUGGUGAACUCCACAUACGCAUCCUUUGCUGAGGAUACGGUUAACGGAGCGAAAGCGACGUUCAACCUCAAAAGAAGCAGAGGGGGCUUAGUGGUGGGGUGACUGCGUACCUUUUGUAUAAUGGGUCAGCGACUUAU